rnacentral:rRNA from 1 species
AACGAACGCUGGCGGCAGGCCUAUCACAUGCAAGUCGAGCGAAGCCUUCGGGCUUAGCGGCGGACGGGUGAGUAACGCGUGGGAACGUGCCCUUUGGUACGGAAUAGCCCCGGGAAACUGGGAGUAAUACCGUAUGUGGUCGAGAGACGAAAGAUUUAUCGCCAAAGGAUCGGCCCGCGUUGGAUUAGGUAGUUGGUGGGGUAAUGGCCUACCAAGCCGACGAUCCAUAGCUGGUUUGAGAGGAUGAUCAGCCACACUGGGACUGAGACACGGCCCAGACUCCUACGGGAGGCAGCAGUGGGGAAUCUUAGACAAUGGGGGAAACCCUGAUCUAGCCAUGCCGCGUGAUCGAUGAAGGCCUUAGGGUUGUAAAGAUCUUUCAGUGGGGAAGAUAAUGACUGUACCCACUGAAGAAGCCCCGGCUGACCCCGUGCCAGCCGCCGCAGUAAAAC